UCACAGUAGCCAUGAGGCCUGCAAGACUCAGACCAAGGAGACACGCUGAAAACCCAGGGAAGGAAGCGUCUUUGGGAUCCGGAAGCAGCCAGCCCUGCACCUGCAGAUGAGAGCCUCUAGCAGAAGAGGACCUGGGAGUGCAGCUGGUUUGGGCAGCAGCGAUGGCCCCAGCUUCAGACCUUCUUCCCUCCCAGACCAGCCUCUCCUGGUUGCUUAGCUGACUGCGUGAGAACCACUUGAAGUCAGGGCCAUUCUCGUGAAUGACUGCCCUCCUUUUGAGUCUUCAGUUUCACCCUCUCUAUUGCAUUCUCCUCUGCCUAAAAGGAUGGUCUAUAGCAUCCUAUCUUCAAAAAUAAGCCCAAGCUGAACUGGGCAUGGUGGUGCACACCUGUAAUCCCAGCACUUUUGGAGGCCAAGGCUGGAGAGGAUUUGACAUCAAGAGUUCAAGACCAGGCUGGGCAACAUAGCAAGACCCCAUCUCUAAAAAAUAAAAUAAAAUAACCCCAAGCCAAGCCUUUGCAAACCAGCUACCCCUUGAGUUACUGUUUUCUUUUUUCUUGUCACUUCACUGCAGGACUUUUUACAAGACAAUCUUCA
rnacentral:lncRNA from 10 species